CCCUUGGACGUUCUGGGCCGCACGCGCGCUACACUGACCAGUGCAACAAGCAUCCGUCCUUGGCCGACAGGCCCGGGCAAUCUUUGAACGCUGGUCGUGAUGGGGAUAGACUUUUGCAAUUUUUGGUCUUCAACGAGGAAUUCCUAGUAAACGCAAGUCAUCAACUUGCAUUGAUUACGUCCCUGCCCUUUGUACACACCGCCCGUCGCACCUACCGAUUGAAUGGUCCGGUGAAGCCUCCGGAUUGGCGCGCACCUCGGUGCCGCCGAGAAGUUGGCUAAACCUUACCAUUUAGAGGAAGGUGAAGUCGUAACA
rnacentral:rRNA from 1 species